GGGGGCGUAGCUCAGGGGUUAGAGCAGUCGGCUCAUAACUGAUUGGUCGUAGGUUCAAAUCCUACCGCCCCCACCA
rnacentral:tRNA from 2 species